rnacentral:tRNA from 1 species
GAGGGUAUAGCUCAGUGGUAGAGCUCAUGCUUAGCAUGCACAAGGUCCUGGGUUCAAUCCCCAGUACCUCCA